UGGCCGAAUGGUUACGAUGUCCGCUUUGAAAGCGGAUGAACAUGGGUUUGACUCCCAU
rnacentral:tRNA from 1 species